GACGAACGCUGGCGGCGUGCCUAAUACAUGCAAGUAGAACGCUGAAGGAGGAGCUUGCUUCUCUGGAUGAGUUGCGAACGGGUGAGUAACGCGUAGGUAACCUGCCUGGUAGCGGGGGAUAACUAUUGGAAACGAUAGCUAAUACCGCAUAAGAGUAGAUGUUGCAUGACAUUUGCUUAAAAGGUGCAAUUGCAUCACUACCAGAUGGACCUGCGUUGUAUUAGCUAGUUGGUGGGGUAACGGCUCACCAAGGCGACGAUACAUAGCCGACCUGAGAGGGGGAUCGGCCACACUGGGACUGAGACACGGCCCAGACUCCUACGGGAGGCAGCAGUAGGGAAGCUUCGGCAAUGGACGGAAGUCUGACCGAGCAACGCCGCGUGAGUGAAGAAGGGUGUCGGAUCGUAAAGCUCGGUUGUAAGAGAAGAACGAGUGUGAGAGUGGAAAGUUCACACUGUGACGGUAUCUUACCAGAAAGGGACGGCUAACUACGUG
rnacentral:rRNA from 1 species